GGUGUGUCACUGUGAGUGUGGGCCAUAAGACCCUUAUCCUAGCUGCCUGGAAGCCAGUAUUCUGCUAGCAGCCUUCAGAUGAAGAUGUAGCACUCUCAGCUCCUCCUGCACCAUGCCUGCCUGGACACUGCCAUGUUCCCACCUUGAUGAUAAUGGACAAAACCUCUGAACGUAUAGCAAAUCACAAUUUGAAAAAAAAGAUUAUUGAAGAAUCUGUACUUCAAUGGUUAAAAUCUGAACCUACGCCUAGACAGUUAUUCGUUAAACUUCAAGAAGAGGUCAUCCAUCCCUCAGGCCAUCACUCAUUUAGCUCACGUGACUUUGCAGAAGAUUGCUGAUUCUGUGCUCGAGCCCUGGUAAACGAAGGAAUUACAGCAUUAAAGAAUCCUUGGUGCAGUUCCGAUCGCAUACAAAUAUAUAUA
rnacentral:lncRNA from 1 species